GACGAACGCUGGCGGCGUGCUUAACACAUGCAAGUCGAACGGAAAGGCCCUGCUUGCCGGGUACUCGAGUGGCGAACGGGUGAGUAACACGUGGGUGAUCUGCCCUGCACUUCGGGAUAAGCUUGGGAAACUGGGUCUAAUACCGGAUAGGAGCCAUCUUUAGUGUGGUGGUUGGAAAGUUUUUUCGGUGUAGGAUGAGCUCGCGGCCUAUCAGCUUGUUGGUGGGGUAAUGGCCUACCAAGGCGGCGACGGGUAGCCGGCCUGAGAGGGUGUACGGCCACAUUGGGAGUGAGAUACGGCCCAGACUCCUACGGGAGGCAGCAGUGGGGAAUAUUGCACAAUGGGCGCAAGCCUGAUGCAGCGACGCCGCGUGGGGGAUGAAGGCCUUCGGGUUGUAAACUCCUUUCGCUAGGGACGAAGCUUUUUUGUGACGGUACCUAGAUAAGAAGCACCGGCUAACUACGUG
rnacentral:rRNA from 1 species